UGAAUUAGCUUGCGAAAUUGUGAGGUC
rnacentral:piRNA from 1 species